UAUCCCUUCCCAUUCACCUCUCCCAUUCCUUCUCUUCCUCCUGCAGCCUCUCCACCUCCUGUCCUCCUCCAGCCUCUCCUCCUCCUCCUGUUGGCGUAGGAAACCACGGCGGAUUAGCGACGGUGACGACGGCGACCGGGAGGGGCGCCGUGAUCCACGGCCGGGAAGGGCACGGGCACGGGUGCAGGCGUGGUGGAUCCGGCCACCGCAGAGCCGCGGGGGGCGGAUCUGGCCGCCGGAGGGCCACGGGGAGCGGAUCCGAGCGCGGGCGGCGGCGCGCGGCUGAUCUGGGCACGGGCGGCUGCUCUCGGACGCCGGCGGCGGUGCGCGGCGGAUCCAGGCGCUAGCGGGGAGGCUAGAUCCGCCGCCGCCAGAUCGGCGGCGCCUGGCCGGUGGUCACCGGGGAGCUGCAUGCUAGCUGCAGAGAGGAGGCACGACCGCACGAGAGGAUCCUCUCUUCAGUUCAUGCGUUUGGUUCUGAUCUGUUUGCACGUGAAACCAUUUCUGCAGCGGGCUGCGGUGGAGGCUGCGGCGGGGCUCUGUGCAGCGGUGGUGGAGGCCGGCGGGGCUCGGCAGCGGCGUCGUCGAGGCAGAGGCAGUGGAGGCUUGAAUGCUUGAACUUUUUUGAUGCUUGAAUGCUUGGGGGAAUAGAAAUUUUUGACUGUAAAUUUAAAUUGUGCUUGUGUGAAUUGAAUUUUUUGACUAUAAUUUUUGGUUGGGUGAAUGGAAAUUUCUGUGGAUUUUUGAA